rnacentral:rRNA from 1 species
UACAGAGGAUGCAAGCGUUAUCCGGAAUCAUUGGGCGUAAAGAGCGUGUAGGCGGCCCGAUAAGUCCGCUGUGAAAGUCCAGGGCUCAACCCUGGGAUGCCGGUGGAUACUGUCGGGCUCGAGUCCGGAAGAGGAGUGUGGAAUUCCUGGUGUAGCGGUGAAAUGCGCAGAUAUCAGGAGGAACAACCAAUGGCGAAGGCAGCACUCUGGGACGUGACUGACGCUGAGACGCGAAAGCGUGGGGAGCAAACAGG